rnacentral:rRNA from 1 species
GAUGAAUGCUGGCGGCGCGCCUAACACAUGCAAGUCGAGCGGAAAGGCCCUUCGGGGUACUCGAGCGGCGGACGGCUGAGUAACGCGUGGGAACAUGCCCCAAAGUGAGGAAUAACUGCCCGAAAGGGUAGCUAAUACCGCAUAUGAUCUUCGGAUUAAAGGAUUUAUCCGCUUUGGGAGUGGCCCGCGUACGAUUAGGUAGUUGGUGAGGUAAAGGCUCACCAAGCCCACGAUCGUUAACUGGUCUGAGAGGAUGAUCAGUCAGACUGGAACUGAGACACGGUCCAGACUCCUACGGGAGGCAGCAGUGAGGAAUCUUCCACAAGGGGCGCAAGCCUGAUUCAGCCAUUCCGCGUGCAGGAUGAAGGCCCUCGGGUUGUAAACUGCUUUUGUACGGAACGAAAAGGCUCUGGUUAAUACCUGGGGCUCAUGACGGUACCGUAAGAAUAAGCACCGGCUAA